GUAGGGAGCAAGCGUUGUUCGGAAUUACUGGGUGUAAAGGGCGUGCAGGCGGCCGCCCAAGUUGGAUGUGGAAUCUUCCAGCUCAACUGGAAAAUUGCAUUCAAAACUGGGUGGCUUGAGUACAGGAGAGGAGAACGGAAUUUCCAGUGUAGCGGUGAAAUGCGUAGAUACUGGAAGGAACACCGGUGGCGAAGGCGGUUCUCUGGCCUGAUACUGACGCUGAGACGCGAAAGCUAGGGUAGCGAACGGGGGAUUAGAUACCCCGGUAGUCCUAGCCCUAAACGAUGGACACUAGGUGUAGGAGGUAUCGACCCCCUCCUGUGCCCGCAGCUAACGCAUUAAGUGUCCCACCUGGGGAGUACGGCCGCAAGGCUG
rnacentral:rRNA from 1 species